UUGGACAUCCCAAUUUACCAA
rnacentral:piRNA from 1 species